GAGUUUUAAUGUAACAUAUAUUCAUGUUUUAAAUUCAAAAAUAUCAUUUGUGUUGGUGAGAGUAUCGAGCUUUAAAAUGAUUAACCAUGAUGGAUUAGUGUUGGUUUUUUUCUUUUUGCUUACUAAUUAUAGAUUCAAAUCUCCCUAACAUAAGCUGUUAACAUAUAAGACUGAAAUUGCAAAUAACUAAACAAAUUCGUUACGUCCGCUAAAGAAAAUACAUGGUAUUUGAUAAAUGUUUUGAAUAUUCUCAAAAUAUUAAAAAGUUUUGAACUAUCCUUUUUGGACCGGUAAUCUUCAGAAUAGUUCAUCCAGUCAACAGAAACAUAUUGUAAAAUAAUAUAAGCAACUUUUGUUUAAGAAAACUCAUCAUUUCAUGGCGACCACUGGGUCCA
rnacentral:lncRNA from 1 species